GCUUCAGCAGCACAUAUACUAAAAUUGGAACGAUACAGAGAAGACUAGCAUGGCCCCUGCGCAAGGAUGACACUCAAAUUCGUGAAGCGUUCCAUAUUUUUUUAGCUCUUUCAGUAUU